UUAGCGAAUGCUGAGUGGAACUACAUUUUGGAUGUCGAGGUCGUGGGUUCGAAUCCCACUCCUGCUACCAUGGCAGGAUAGCUCAGUGGCAGAGCGCGUAACGUUUCACUCUUUCAUUGUCGCUAGGCA
rnacentral:Y_RNA from 1 species